UAAAGUAAAUAUUUGGUUCUGGUAUAAUGUUAGCUACAGAGUUUUUUACAUUACACAAUGUAGGAUAAUUUCGUGAUGUGUAAAAGUCUGAUUUAUGUGAUAAGCCAAAUUUAAGGCGCCCUAAAAGGAGUGGUAUGGCAGCAGGAGCAUAAGUCUUAUGAUGAUGACGCGAAGGAAAUCACAACUCAAGUGGGUAGAUCUGGAAAUCAAUGAGUUCUAGCUUGAAACGAAUAAAAAACUAACUAAAUCGAAGCGAAAGAGGGUGCCAGCAGCUGCGGUCACUCCCUCUCUCGAGGAGCUAAUAAGGGUGCAGCUUAGAGGCAGUUAGUCAAAAUGUGUGACGCAAGACAUACAGCAGGGACUAUGGGUGAAAUCUCAGUCUUGCGGGAGGUCCAAAGCUUGCGUAAAGAUGAAUCUGCGAAGUUAUGGGUAUAGACCCGGAUUUGGUACCCGGUUAUUCCAUAAUGUCAAGUAUAGCUAUUUUAUUUGAAUUAAUAGUUUGCUAGGGGUACUACGAGCAACUGCUUAAAACUCGAAGAACUUGGCGGUUCCGCAUAACCAUCCAGAGGCUCUUGGCGCUUAAUCUGAUGAUCCGCGUGAUAUCUUACCUGCCCUAUAGAAAGCAGUGUACUGCCGUCGAAAGCUUAUGAUGUGAGUAAGUAAAAAUAGGCCCAAUCUUGGGGUUUUAAGAAAUUAAUAAUCAUACCGAGGCUAGGUCAGGUCGAAGUGCUCCUUAUGGGCAAGGGGUUAGCUGAGAGACAAAUAUUUAGACAUAUAAAGAUUUUAGAGAUGAAAUUCUCUUAGUGUAUAUAAGGAUUUGGGAGUAAAAAGAGAGUAAUUCGUUUUUUUGAAAAGACGCAACUGCGGUGCGUUCAAAUCGCCCGUCACCCUAGCCGAAAGGAGAGGUAAGUCGUAACAUGGUAAGGGUAGGGGAACUUGCUCUUUUAAU
rnacentral:rRNA from 1 species